UACGUAGGAUGCAAGCGUUGUCCGGAGUUACUGGGCGUAAAGCGUGUGCAGGCGGCUCUUUGCGUCGGUGGUGAAAUCUCCUGGCUUAACUGGGAGGGGGCCAUCGAUACGGGGGAGCUUGAGGGCUAGAGAGGGAAGUAGAACUCCCGGUGGACCAGUGAAAUGGGUAGAUAUCGGGAAGAAUACCUGAGGUGAAGACGGCUUCCUGGCUAGCACCUGACGCUCAUACACGAAAGCUUGGGGAGCAAACAGG
rnacentral:rRNA from 1 species